UCAAAUUAAAUUAAGUAUCCAAUGCGGGCUUGCCACGUGGAAGCCCCUUUCUCACCCAAAUUAGGCUUUCAGAAUUGGGAUUUGGAAGGCUUGCUUCUGCCUCCUCUGCCUGCGCUGCGAAGUGUGCUGCUGCCAAUUGCCAUAGAGAUCUCUGUGCGCGAGAGAAAAAUUUCUCCUGUGAUUGCGUUUUGAUUUUUGGUUCCUCUGCUGUUUCUGGUUCUUCUGCGUUUCAGGUUGCGAAGACAGUGGAGAUCGAAUAACGAUUGGUGGUGGCCUAGCGAGUAGCUCGCGAAGAGGCGCUGGUGUGUUUGCAUGGUCUCUGCGGCGACAUUGACGAGGUGGUCAGGUUCUGAUUUUGUCUCACAGUGGUGAAAAUGUUGGGCGAACUCGCGAUUCGGUUCCUGCAAUUUGCAGUUCUCUCUACAGUGGCUGCCAUGGAAGCGUGAUUUGGUUACCGGAGAAGAUGAAGGAUGGCAUUCCAGGAGCAAUGUUUGGUGAUGGCAGUGCUUUUGGACCUUUCCAUGUGUUCUAUGAAAUGAGAUGACCACUUUGCCCUUAUUUAAAUUUUAUUUUCCCUCUUUGCACUCCAUUUUUUAAUUCAAAAAUUAAAAAAAUAUACUUCACACACGUUUUUA